rnacentral:miRNA from 1 species
UGACUACUCCUUGCCUCUCAG